rnacentral:lncRNA from 1 species
UCCAUGGGAGUUGAGGAGUUAACAGACUGAUGUUCCUGUGUUAUGCAAAGCCUAUCAUAUCCCAGUGACAGCACUGAAGAGUGGAAAACCAUAUUCAUAGGCAUUCUGUGUUUAAGAUCUUGAGAACUGGACACAUCCUUCUGAGACAUCAGAGAUGCUACCAGAUAUACAAGAAGCAACCGCCCAACCCAGGAGCAGUUGAGUCAUUCACUGCCCAUCUAAACGUCCAGUGACAGUACAUAUGGGUUGGAUGCCAAAGGUCUUGAGGACUAUUUCUAGCAUCUGAUGUUAAGGAAACACCAGCAAGCUGAUGCCGGUCUUGAUGUGCAGCACCAGAAGAGAUGGUGAGUCAAAAGUCAGUGAGCUGAACCACUUCUCAAAACACAUAUAUGAAUACCGCUGU